CAGCCGCCGCGGUAAUACGAAGGGGGCUAGCGUUGUUCGGAUUUAAUGGGCGUAAAGGGCGCGUAGGCGGAUUUGUAAGUCAGGGGUGAAAUCCCGAGGCUCAACCUCGGAACUGCCUUUGAUACUGUGGAUCUUGAGUCCGGGAGAGGUGAGUGGAACUGCGAGUGUAGAGGUGAAAUUCGUAGAUAUUCGCAAGAACACCAGUGGCGAAGGCGGCUCACUGGCCCGGAACUGACGCUGAGGCGCGAAAGCGUGGGGAGCAAACAGGAUUAGAUACCCCCGUAGUCCCUGUCUCUUAUAC
rnacentral:rRNA from 1 species